rnacentral:sRNA from 1 species
GGCUGCCGUGGUGCAGCGCCCGGGCUGAGCGACAGCAAGUGCAGCGGGCUCCUACCCCGGGUGAGGGGUGGCCUCCGCGUGGGAUCGUGCCCUCUUCAGCCCGCUCCUGUCCCCGACAUCACGUGUAUUCCGCACGUCCCCUCCGCGCUGUGUGUCUACUGAGACGGGGAGGCGUGACAGGGCCCGGGUCCCUUCUCAGUGGUGCUCUGUGCUUCAGGGCAAGCUCCCCGUCUCCGGGCGCACUUCCCUCGCCUGUGUUCGGUCCAUCCUCCUUUCUCCAGCCUCCUCCCCUCGCAGCCAGGCGGAUGACCCGGACGACGGGCCAGUGCCUGGCACCCCGGGGUUGCCAGGGUCCACGGGGAACCCGAAGUCCGAGGAGCCCGAGGUCCCGGACCAGGAGGGGCUGCAGCGCAUCACCGGCCUGUCUCCCGGCCGUUCGGCUCUCAUAGUGGCGGUGCUGUGCUACAUCAAUCUCCUGAACUACAUGGACCGCUUCACCGUGGCUGGCGUCCUUCCCGACAUCGAGCAGUUCUUCAACAUCGGGGACAGUAGCUCUGGGCUCAUCCAGACCGUGUUCAUCUCCAGUUACAUGGUGUUGGCACCUGUGUUUGGCUACCUGGGUGACAGGUACAAUCGGAAGUAUCUCAUGUGCGGGGGCAUUGCCUUCUGGUCCCUGGUGACACUGGGGUCAUCCUUCAUCCCCGGAGAGCAUUUCUGGCUGCUCCUCCUGACCCGGGGCCUGGUGGGGGUCGGGGAGGCCAGUUAUUCCACCAUCGCGCCCACUCUCAUUGCCGACCUCUUUGUGGCCGACCAGCGGAGCCGGAUGCUCAGCAUCUUCUACUUUGCCAUUCCGGUGGGCAGUGGUCUGGGCUACAUUGCAGGCUCCAAAGUGAAGGAUAUGGCUGGAGACUGGCACUGGGCUCUGAGGGUGACACCGGGUCUAGGAGUGGUGGCCGUUCUGCUGCUGUUCCUGGUAGUGCGGGAGCCGCCAAGGGGAGCCGUGGAGCGCCACUCAGAUUUGCCACCCCUGAACCCCACCUCGUGGUGGGCAGAUCUGAGGGCUCUGGCAAGAAAGUGAGUUUAUUCCCACCCUAGACCACCAUCUGAGGCCCCCUGGCGUCUGGUUUGAGGUUUAAGUGGGGAUGUUCCUGUUCCUGGCCACACCCCAAGGCCAGGAAUUCGGUCGCUACUGCCCCCUUGUGGCAGCUGCUUGAAUUACAGGCCCAGAUCCUGGGAGCCAGAACCACCUCUGCACCUGGUGUUGUGACCUUACUAAAAUAAGCCAGGAAGGGAGAAGAGAGGUCCCCUCCUGCCUCGACACCUCCGUGGGGUCUUACUCUCUCCCUCCCAACUAUCUGCAGUCCUAGUUUCGUCCUGUCUUCCCUGGGCUUCACUGCUGUGGCCUUUGUCACGGGCUCCCUGGCUCUGUGGGCUCCGGCAUUCCUGCUGCGUUCCCGCGUGGUCCUUGGGGAGACCCCACCCUGCCUUCCCGGAGACUCCUGCUCUUCCUCUGACAGGUGCCCAGAUGGGGCUAUGCUGGGGGGCCUGCGGGUGGCAGGGCUGGAGUGAAGAGCAUCUGUGGCUCAGACCCAGGCAGGAAGUUUGACUCCUGACUUCACAAGCUGCCUGCUCUCCUGGAAUCUCCGUUUCCUGGUCUGGGAAUAAGUGAUGGGAUGAUGUCUGCCACUCAGGGCUGUGCCAACCAUGGGGUGCUGUGUCUGUAGGGACCUUGGUUGUGAGGGUGGCUAGGAUGGACAGCGUAGGGGCCUUGGCAGGCACAGGGACAAACCCCCAUUCCCUUCCCUCACCCCUAGUCUCAUCUUUGGACUCAUCACCUGCCUGACCGGAGUCCUGGGUGUGGGCCUGGGUGUGGAGAUCAGCCGCCGGCUCCGCCACUCCAACCCCCGGGCUGAUCCCCUGGUCUGUGCCACUGGCCUCCUGGGCUCUGCACCCUUCCUCUUCCUGUCCCUUGCCUGCGCCCGUGGUAGCAUCGUGGCCACUUAUAUUUUCAUCUUCAUUGGAGAGACCCUCCUGUCCAUGAACUGGGCCAUCGUGGCCGACAUUCUGCUGUACGUGGUGAUCCCUACCCGACGCUCCACCGCCGAGGCCUUCCAGAUCGUGCUGUCCCACCUGCUGGGUGAUGCUGGGAGCCCCUACCUCAUUGGCCUGAUCUCUGACCGCCUGCGCCGGAACUGGCCCGCCUCCUUCUUGUCCGAGUUCCGGGCUCUGCAGUUCUCGCUCAUGCUCUGCGCGUUUGUUGGGGCAUUGGGCGGCGCAGCCUUCCUGGGCACCGCCAUCUUCAUUGAGGCCGACCGCCGGCGGGCGCAGCUGCACGUGCAGGGCCUGCUGCACGAAGCAGGGUCCACAGACGACCGGAUUGUGGUGCCCCAGCGGGGCCGCUCCACCCGCGUGCCCGUGGCCAGUGUGCUCAUCUGAGAGGCUGCCGCUCACCUACCUGCACAUCUGCCACAGCUGGCCCUGGGCCCACCCCACGAAGGGCCUGGGCCUAACCCCUUGGCCUGGCCCAGCUUCCAGAGGGACCCUGGGCCGUGUGCCAGCCCCCAGACACUACAUGGGUAGCUCAGGGGAGGAGGUGGGGGUCCAGGAGGGGGAUCCCUCUCCACAGGGGCAGCCCCAAGGGCUCGGUGCUAUUUGUAACAGAAUAAAAUUUGUAGCCAGACCCCAGGUGCCUGCUCUCGUCUUUCUCUGGGUGGCCUCUGAUCUUGUACCCCGUCUUCACCCCAGGGCUCCUGAAGACUGUGGGUCAUUCCUCGGGGCUCUGGGUGAGUCUCUGCCCUUCUGGGCUGGGCGACUGAGAUGGGGGACUGCUCUUCUCCGAGUGAGCUGGCUGAGUGUGACCGUGAGUCACGCCCCUGCUUCCCUGGAGCCUGUCCCUUGCCUCACAGGCCUGGCUGAGGUGGGGGUGGGCACUGCCCUUUGUACCCCAGAAUUCCCACUGUCAGGGCCUCCCUGCUCGCUGCCUCCCCGGGUCCUGGAUAUGGAGGCCACGGCUGCCAGCUGGCAGGUGGCUGUCCCCAUCUGGGGGGCCAGCAGACCCUUGGUGAGUGCCUGGGGUGGCUCCCGGGCCUCCUCCUGCCCCCUCCCCACUGGCAGGGUGGGGUGGGAAGGGGGCGGGUGCAGCCGGCUGAGAGCUUGAUGAUUUCCUGCCCUCGCCCGGCGCUCACCACAGCUUCCUGCCGCAGGCGGGCGGGAGGGCAGGCACGGAGAGGCGGGCGCCGAGGAGGGGCAGGUAGGGCUGGGACGCAGGGGUAACUGGAUCCCCCGACUUCAGCCCAGGCCCUGGUCUGACCACCCUGGGAGCAGGGACUUUCCACAGUCAGCUGGACGCACACUCAGCCCAGUAAAAGAGGGGACCCAUCCCGGGAGCCCCGGGGAGGGCACAGCUGCCUCCUCCCGGGCUCCCCUGCCACCUGGUGCCUACCUGCCCCCUGCUCCCUGCCGGGUCCGGUCCUCACCUCAUCUUCAUCUGGCCUUGACUCUGCCCUUGAGGGGCCUAGGGGUGCAGCCGGCCUGCUCCGAGCUCCCCUGCAGAUGGAGGAGGCCAUCCUGGUCCCCUGCAUGCUGGGGCUCCUGCUGCUGCCCAUCCUGGCCAUGUUGAUGGCACUGUGUGUGCACUGCCACAGACUGCCAGGCUCCUACGACAGCACAUCCUCAGAUAGGUGAGUCCGCCCCAGCCACCCUGGGUCUCCCUCCACACCCCAUGGCGGGGCAGGGCUGGGGCUUCCAUCCUCCAUCUUCCAGCCCCAUCCCCAAGCUGUGUCUCCUUUACCAGUUUGUAUCCAAGGGGCAUCCAGUUCAAACGGCCUCGUGAGUACAAGGAGGGUCCCCUACCUUGGGUGCCAGGGAGAGGGUCCCCUGGUGUGGGAGUGAGCGUGAACCUUCAGACUUCCCCUGCCACCUUGGGGCUGCCCACAUGGCCUUGACCUGAGCUGGGAGAGGGGAGAUGGCUCCCCCAGGCCUGUCCAGGGUGUGGGGCUUUCAGGGGCUUAGUCUGUUCUUUGAGGCCUUGACGAUGUCCGGAGUCCUUCUUUCAACUUGGUUCUGUGUCCUCAGACACGGUUGCCCCCUGGCCACCUGCCUACCCGCCUGUCACCUCCUACCCACCCCUGAGCCAGCCAGACCUGCUCCCCAUCCCAAGAUCCCCGCAGCCCCUUGGGGGCUCCCACCGGACGCCAUCUUCCCGGCGGGAUUCUGAUGGUGCCAACAGUGUGGCGAGCUACGAGAACGAGGGUGCGUCUGGGAUCCGAGGUGCCCAGGCUGGGUGGGGAGUCUGGGGUCCGUCCUGGACUAGGCUGACCCCUGUGUCGUUACCCCCAGAACCAGCCUGUGAGGAUGCGGAUGAGGAUGAGGACGACUAUCACAACCCGGGCUACCUGGUGGUGCUUCCUGACAGCACCCCGGCCACUAGCACUGCUGCCCCAUCAGCUCCUGCACUCAGCACCCCUGGCAUCCGAGACAGUGCCUUCUCCACGGAGUCCAUUGAUGAUUACGUGAACGUUCCGGAGAGCGGGGAGAGCGCAGAAGCGUCUCUGGAUGGCAGCCGGGAGUAUGUGAAUGUGUCCCAGGAACUGCAUCCUGGAGCGGCUAAGACUGAGCCUGCCGCCCUGAGUUCCCAGGAGGCAGAGGAAGUGGAGGAAGAGGGGGCUCCAGAUUACGAGAAUCUGCAGGAGCUGAACUGAGGGCCUGUGGAGGCCGAGUCUGUCCUGGAACCAGGCUUGCCUGGGAUGGCUGAGCUGGGCAGCUGGAAGUGGCUCUGGGGUCCUCACAUGGCGUCCUGCCCUUGCUCCAGCCUGACAACAGCCUGAGAAAUCCCCCCGUAACUUAUUAUCACUUUGGGGUUCGCCCUGUGUCCCCCGAACGCUCUGCACCUUCUGACGCAGCCUGAGAAUGACCUGCCCUGGCCCCAGCCCUACUCUGUGUAAUAGAAUAAAGGCCUGCGUGUGUCUGUGUUGAGCGUGUGUCUGUGUGUGCCUGUGUGUGAGUCUGAGUCAGAGAUUUGGAGAUGUCUCUGUGUGUGUGUGUGUAUCUGUGGGUCUCCAUCCUCCAUGGGGGCUCAGCCAGGUGCUGUGAGUGACAGCAGACAGUGGCUGGGACACCCCCCUUCUGAAUGAAGCCUUCUGACCUGGGCUGGCACUGCUGGGGGUGAGGACACAUUGCCCCAUGAGACAGUCCCAGAACACGGCAGCUGCUGGCUGUGACAAUGGUUUCGCCAUCCUUAGACCAAGGGAUGGGACCUGAUGACCUGGGAGGACUCUCUUAGUUCUUACCUUUUGUGGUUCUCAAUAAAACAGAACUU